rnacentral:rRNA from 1 species
AGCCCUUGACAUGGGAAGUAUGGACCUGAGAGAUCGGGCCCUUCAGUUCGGCUGGCUUCCGCACAGGUGCUGCAUGGCUGUCGUCAGCUCGUGUCGUGAGAUGUUGGGUUAAGUCCCGCAACGAGCGCAACCCUCGUCUUCAGUUGCCAUCACGUUUGGGUGGGCACUCUGAAGAAACUGCCGGUGACAAGCCGGAGGAAGGUGGGGAUGACGUCAAGUCCUCAUGGCCCUUACGGGCUGGGCUACACACGUGCUACAAUGGCGGUGACAGAGGGGAGCGACGGGGUGACCCUGAGCCAAUCCCGAAAAGCCGUCUCAGUUCGGAUUGCACUCUGCAACUCGAGUGCAUGAAGUCGGAAUCGCUAGUAAUGGCGCAUCAGCUACGGCGCCGUGAAUACGUUCCCGGGCC